rnacentral:rRNA from 1 species
AGAAUCAACGCUGGCGGCGUGCCUAACACAUGCAAGUCGAACGAGAAAGUGGAGCAAUCCAUGAGUACAGUGGCGACCGGGUGAGUAACACGUGACUAACCUACCCUCGAGUGGGGAAUAAACUCCGGGAAACCGGAGCUAAUACCGCAUAACAUCGCAAGAUCAAAGCCGAAAGGCGCUUGAGGAGGGGGUCGCGGCUGAUUAGCUAGUUGGCGGGGUAAUGGCCCACCAAGGCUUAGAUCGGUA